rnacentral:lncRNA from 1 species
UUGUCAGGAUAUAGUAUAGCUGGAGAGUACCCUAUUCUGAGAAGACUAAUCAAAUCCUUCUUUGCCAACUGCCUAUCUGAAGAGAUACAGGUUGUCUGCAAGCAAUUCUUCAGCCAAAAUAACGGACAGAAACAAAGUGAGUCAGAAAACAUGAAAAUGGAGUUCACUUCCAUCCAAUCAACUUUAACAAUGCUCUGUCUGAUGGGAAGGAAAGACACAGAGAGAUUUAUUGCCAGUCAUCAUGGAGCGGCCAUGCCUAGAGUCUCCCCAGUCAUCAGGUGCAGUCCACAUCACUUAACUGUGUCAGCUUCAUGAAUGGCAAGGUCACUUUGUCCCCUGAUUUGGUCCUACCAAAUUCAAAACCCAGUUCCAGGGCUGUGCUGGCUGACUAGUGUACCCUCUAGCACCUGGACGCUGUGGCACCCGUGACUGAUGCCCACCAUUUAGAAGCAUGCUCCCAAUUCCAGUCCUUCCUGCCCUCAGACCUGACAGGUGAAGGGAAUCAGUGUUUGCUUGGACCCUCUCAGUGAUUACGCACUCUUUUUUACCUGCUUGGGCAUCUUCUGAAAGGAAGGGGUGGCUCUCCCUCCCCCACACACACCUUACCUCUGUGCUUUACUUACCAGUUUAAAAAUCAUGAUGUGACCAGAGGGAGGGAUGACCCAGUGUGCAGAGAUCUGAAACCAGAUGGAACAACCAAAGGAGAGGAUCUGGCUCCCCACAGAGCUGGAGGCAGAAGAACGUGUUGAAGGAGGAAGUCAGCAGGAGACAGUUCUCUAACUUUCACUGUGUAAUGUGAAGAUUCCCACCAUGAAAAUUCAUCUUCAUAUCCUUUAGGGUCUAACCUCAAAACAGAAAAGCAUUCUGAAUAUUCCUAACAGAGCUCAAAGCAGGCUCGUUGUCCCUGAUAGAAGGAACACACUGAGCCCUGUCAAGAAGCCCCAAGCCCUAGCUUGGGAUUUCCAUGACAGGUAGUCCAGAGACAAGGUCACCUGAUAGAAGCUGGGACAUUGUUGGGCCUGUCUAGUAGGGAUGGGACCACUGAGGAGAGGCUGGUGUUAGAGACAGAUGUCCCUUCCUUUUCUCCAGGACUCUACCAAUUCCUGUCAUUGUGGACAAUCCAGGUUUAAAACUGGGAACACCAAGGCUUGAGAAACUUCAGCUGGGAGUUCGUACCCAGUCUUUAGAACUGGAGCAAAACUGGAGGAGGGCAAGUCAUGUGGCCCAGGGAAGCAGCCAAAGUAAAACAAUACAUGUUUCAGUUAGGGCAUGCUUGCAAACCUUACCUUAAGUCAUAGAUUCUUGUGCCUGAUCAUAAAGAUUGAGUUUGGAUUCAAGAUGUGUGUAGCCAUUAGAGGCUCUUCGCACUGGUAAACAAAACGGAAGACCCUUUGGAAUAAAGCUGUUGAUAUUCAGUGUAUUAGUAAGCUA